rnacentral:rRNA from 1 species
UACGUAGGGUGCGAGCGUUAAUCGGAAUUACUGGGCGUAAAGCGUGCGCAGGCGGUCUGUUAAGACCGAUGUGAAAUCCCCGGGCUCAACCUGGGAACUGCAUUUGUGACUGCAUGGCUGGAGUGCGGCAGAGGGGGAUGGAAUUCCGCGUGUAGCAGUGAAAUGCGUAGAUAUGCGGAGGAACACCGAUGGCGAAGGCAAUCCCCCUGGGCCUGCACUGACGCUCAUGCACGAAAGCGUGGGGAGCAAACAGG